rnacentral:tmRNA from 1 species
GGGGCUGCACCGGUUUCGACGUGGGUUCGGACACGCAGCAGGGCAUGUCGAGGCUCAGCUACCUCGUAAAUCCAACUGAAACAAACCAACUGCGAACGAUAACUCGUACGCCCUCGCCGCUUAAUUGCGCGUGAGCCUUGCAACGGUUGGCCGAUGGGCCGGGCUGAAGGGGUAACCUGACAGCUGCAAGGUAAUCUACAUUGGCUGGCCCCGAUCCGGGUACCUUGGGUCAGGGCGAGAAAAUAGGGUGCUGGCCGGCUUGAUAGCGUGUGACUGCGCGAUCUGGCUGGCGAGAAUCAAAUCAGAUCACUAAACAUGUAGAACUGUUCGUAGAAGGCUUGCGGACGCGGGUUCAAUUCCCGCCAGCUCCACCA